rnacentral:misc_RNA from 1 species
AACUGAUACUACCUGCGGGAACCUGCGGAAGGAUCAUUACCGAGUUUACAACUCCCAAACCCAUGUGAACAUACCUGUCUUGUUGCUUCGGCGGCGCCCACGGCCCUCACGGGCUUGGGGCCCGCCAGAGGACCCAAACAAAACUCUUUGCAUUUUGAAUACAGUAUUCUGAGUGACAUGAUUAAAUAAAAUCAAAACUUUUAGCAACGGAUCUCU